AGUGGACCAGCCUUGGGGCUACUAUCCAUACUAAUGAGGAAAUAAUGUCCCAGAGAAGUUAAUUUAGUGACUUGCCCAAGGUCACAUAGGUAAGAAGUAACAGAGACACAAUUCAAGUGGCUUCUUGAAUAACUUCUCUGACGUUGAAUCUCUAUUGGGUGAGAAAGGCCGGAGUUGCCGAGGAACUGGAAGUCAUUGAAACUGAGGCUACCUCCGAGGUCCCAGCUGCUUGUCGAAGGCCCCAGGCUGUUUGCCUGAUCCUGUCCCCGCUGGUCCUCAAAGGCAUCCCUCAUGACGGGGUGCAGAUACUUGAAGAGGCGCUGAUAGUCAUUUAGGAUCAAGAGCGCACAGGAUGAAUUAAGCUAGCAAACCUAUUCUGCCUCCAUGACACGCUUCCUCCCUGUAGCCCCAUCCUGCCUAAAGUUUGUCCCAGGCUUGUGUGAAAAAAAUCCGUGGCCUCCGACAUCAACAGCUCUCAUAUGCUGUGUAAAAAAAAAAUUAAUUGUAGCAGGGAUCACGACUCCUUGGGUAAUGGAAUUAAUGAAGAUCAUAGCCGGUAGGCCUCUGGGAAUGAAAUGCAAGCCAUCAACGACUAUAGAACAAAAAGCACAAGCAGUGCCCAGGGAUGGGUCGAAACUCAGGUCGAUAAAGGACCAGCUGUUGGAAGAGCACAGGGCAGUGUGAGCAGAAGAAUGGAAGAAAAGCACUCAGCCUCUUGGAGAGCAUCAAGGAGAAAGACUGAGACCCUUUGAGAUGCAGCAGUGGAUGAAAAAACUAAAUUUUCCCUCUCAGGGGGUGGUACUUUGGAGCUUUUUAAGUUGAACUUUAUAUGGCUGGUGUCAGAGAUCAGAUAAGAUGGAGGUGAAAAAAAUAGAGAACUGUUUUUUGUUGAAACAAUUCAGGCAUGAACAUGCAUUAUUCAAGCCCCUGGAGCAAUGGUCGAAGGAGGCCUUUAAUAACCAAAUGCAUUUACUAUGUGUCUUUGGACUAUGCAGAAAAAUAGUAUGCUAGACCAGAAAGGUGGAACAUUUAGCAGGAAUGACAAGACCUUGUUUGCAAAGUGGGAGAGAUUGCUUACCCAAGAUACUGUGAUAUUUACCUAGAUUAAGGGUCCUUAUUCACUCUUCCCAACCACAGGAAGCAGACAGGAAAGGGAAAGAGGUGGGAG
rnacentral:lncRNA from 1 species